CGUCAAACGUGAAUUAUGUAUAGGUAAUGUCUUAUGUCAUUAGAAUUUAGAAAGUUUUCACAUUUGGCAGAAAAAUAAAAAUAAAUAAAUUAUAAAAUACUUGAAAAUUUAAGAUUGAGAAUUACUAUAUGCACACUGUGCGGGCUCUUGAAUUUUAUUUUAUGGUGAUGUAAUUAUGUUGCGACUGUUUCGACAAGUAUUACGUGUUGACCGAAGAACAUAUAAAAACUUUGGUCAUAAAAGGGAGCCUGAACCACGAUUUACAGUAAUUUGGCAUGGAUUUCUAACAUUUAGUUUCAUUGGAUUGGGAGUGGAAUGGAAAAGAGUUUUAAAAUUCUUUUUUGGAGACGAUGAUCUACCACAUCCUCUUAACUUAGAAGCACAAUAUGAAAAUCCAUCAGAAGAAAAAAAUAUAUGUAAAUAAUUAUUAUGUAAUUAUAUGUUGAGUAGAUAUGUAAAUAUUUAAGAAAUAUACCUAUUAAUUUAAAUUAAAA